AAAAGAAUCGAGCAUUCAGCGUCAACUACCCCUAGCUGACCCGUCUUUGGAAAUUCCAGACGCUGUAUUACUGCUGCAAUCUGACCCGGAAGAAGAACAGCAGCAGCUGAAACAAGAUGGCCCAGAACUUCAAGGCAUCGCGGAGCAGCAGCAGCUGAAUCAGACAGCGCCCCCUCAAGGCGAUCCGGAGCAACCGGCUCAGAAACCUGUGAUUCAAGCAGGCCCUGAAGAAUCAGCAGCAUUGCAACUUGAGGAACAACGCUCGAGCGGGGCUUCGGUCUGAUCAAGUCGUGCAAAAUGUAGGCGUUCUUCCUCUUCUGAUUCUUCAUCCGGAGGAGGAGAAGGAGGUGUACACGCAUCUGUAGAUGUUCUGGAAGAGGACACUUCGGUCAUGAUGACAGGAGCUUCAUCCCCAAUGCAUGGUGUCAUUCCAACAUCAUGCUGAUGCAUCUCAACCGGUUAUCGUGUGAAUCCUUUCAAGUGAUGGGUGAUAUUCUUGCUUGUUACAACAACCGUGUGAUUAAAAAGUAAGAUGGAUGAUUAUAACUGUGAUUUGAACGAUGUGUCUGCAUUACCGGUCAUGUCUACGAACCAUAGUGUUGACGCUUCAACCUCCAAUGUA